UACAGAGGUCCCAAGCGUUGUUCGGAUUCACUGGGCGUAAAGGGUGCGUAGGUGGCGAGGUAAGUUUGAUGUGAAAUCUCCGGGCUUAACCCGGAAAUGGCAUUGAAUACUCUCUCGCUAGAGGGUUGGAGGGGGGACUGGAAUUCUCGGUGUAGCAGUGAAAUGCGUAGAUAUCGAGAGGAACACCGGUGGCGAAGGCGGCCAACUGGACAGAUACUGACGCUGAGACACGAAAGCGUGGGGAGCAAACAGG
rnacentral:rRNA from 1 species